rnacentral:rRNA from 1 species
GACGAACGCUGGCGGCGUGCUUAACACAUGCAAGUCGAACGGAAAGGCCCUGCUUUUGUGGGGUGCUCGAGUGGCGAACGGGUGAGUAACACGUGAGUAACCUGCCCUUGACUUUGGGAUAACUUCAGGAAACUGGGGCUAAUACCGGAUAGGAGCUCCUGCUGCAUGGUGGGGGUUGGAAAGUUUCGGCGGUUGGGGAUGGACUCGCGGCUUAUCAGCUUGUUGGUGGGGUAGUGGCUUACCAAGGCUUUGACGGGUAGCCUGCCUGAGAGGGGGACCGGCCACAUUGGGACUGAGAUGCGGCACAGACUCCUACGGGAGGCAGCAGUGGGGAAUAGUGCACAAUGGGCGGAAGCCUGAUGCAGCAACGCCGCGUGCGGGAUGACGGCCUUCGGGUUGUAAACCGCUUUCGCCUGUGACGAAGCGUGAGUGACGGUAAUGGGUAAAGAAGCACCGGCUAACUACGUG